CCAGUCGUGGCCGAGUGGUUAAGGCGAUGGACUUGAAAUCCAUUGGGUUAUUCCCGCGUUGGUUCGAAUCCUACCGACUGCG
rnacentral:tRNA from 1 species